GGUGAAUACGUUCCCGGGCCUUGUACACACCGCCCGUCACGCCAUGGAAGUCGGUAGCACCCGAAGCCAGCGGCCUAACUCUGACUUGUCGGAGAGGGAGUUGUCGAAGGUGAGAUCGAUGACUGGGGCGAAGUCGUAACAAGGUAGCCGUACCGGAAGGUGCGGCUGGAUCACCUCCUUUCUAUGGAG
rnacentral:rRNA from 1 species